CACGGGGGGAGCAAGCGUUGUUCGGAUUCAUUGGGCGUAAAGGGCUCGUAGGUGGCUUUGUAAGUCGGAGGUGAAAUCCCACGGCUCAACCGUGGACACGCCUUCGAAACUGUGAAGCUUGAGGCUGGGAGAGGAAAUCGGAAUUCCUGGUGUAGCGGUGAAAUGCGUAGAUAUCAGGAGGAACACCAGUGGCGAAGGCGAGUCUCUGGCACGCAUCUGACGCUGAAACACGAAAGCCAGGGGAGCGAACGGG
rnacentral:rRNA from 1 species